CUACGGGUUGCUCCAGGUAGGUAUAAUCUACAAUGCACGCAAGUGUGAUAGUUUGAGCCAGAGUGCUUUUCAAUGAAAAGCUUUUGCCGAGUGUAAAAAGCUCGGCGAAUAAGGACUGGGUAAGACGAGUGCCAGCCGCCGCGGUAAUACUCGCGGUCCAAGUCGCAGCCAUCUUUAUUGGGUCUAAAACAUCCGUAGCUUGCCAAGCAAGUUCUUUGUGAAAUCCGGCAUCUUAAGUGUUGGGCGGGCAAAGAGUACUGUUUGGCUAGAGACCGGGAGACGUAAGGAGUACAUUCAAAGUAGCGGUAAAAUGUUUUAAUCUUGGAUGGACUCACAAUAGCGAAGGCACCUUACGAGAACGGCUCUGACAGUAAGGGAUGAAGGCUAGGGGCGCAAAACGGAUUAGUACCCCAGUAGUC
rnacentral:rRNA from 1 species